UCAGCCCAAGACCUGCAAAGCUCAGUUCUACCUCUGGUUCUGAGCAGGGAAGUCAGGACACGGCUCCAGCAGCACCAUCCACACAAAAAUUGGGAUUUUACAGCAGUGGGAGCAGCUCAAAGCACAUCCACCAGCUCCAGGUGAGGGAACACAGCAGAAUUCCAGGCUCAUCUGGGCUCCUGCAGCCCGAAUUUCACCCUAUUUCCACACUGCAGGUGUGGUCAGGAAAGUCUUGUGCCAGGUGUGGCUCCGUAUCUGAUGAUGGGCAAGAAAGAAGCACAAAUUGAAAGAAUGAUUUUUCUAAUUUAAUAGAAAUAAGCAACCAAAAUGGGUUCCAAACAAUGCUUUAAACUGAGCUAAUACAACUUCUACAGCACAUUCCAGAGCACUUAACAAGAAAUAUUUACAGGCAGCUAAAAUAUUAAAUAACUAGGGAAAGAAAAAAUUGAUUUUAAUUACACACCAGCAAAAAAACACAGGAACAGAACAAUUUGAAACAAUAACUUUAAAAAAAAAAGUUAAAUAGGAUGAUUCAGAUAAUACAAUAUCACAGAAACAGCACUUGGGGUUUUUUUAAGAAUCAUAUUAAAAGAUGAGGCAAGUUUAUUAUGUGCAAAAUGAGCCAGCUCCAGUACUGGAAGCAGGAAAUAAUUGAAGAAUCAAAGAAUGCCAUGAUUUAACCCUUCCAGGAGAAUGUUUACAUGUCAAACAAGCUUUGCACUGCACAAAUCUGUAUAGGAUUAUUUACAUGUGUCCUGGUGUUCUGAGCCUAAAAAUCCCCCAGUGCAGGUGUGCCAGGGGAGCUCGCUCCAGACUGAAUCCUGCCACAGUCCAGCUUACAAAAUAUUCCAGUACCUCUCUUAAAGAAAUUCUAAAGCCAGCAGCCUCCAGCUGUGAUUUCACCCAACAGAAAAGGCCCAAACUGCAUUUCGUACAUUUCUUAGUCCACUUAAAACAAAGAUUCCCAAAUGAACUGCAAUUUUGGAAAGCUCUUUCAAUCCUGAUGCAUCAGAAAGCAGAGAAAAAAGGAUCCCCAUAAGCCAAGUGGAAGUAGAUGGAAGAGUUACUGCACACACACUUUGAGAA